rnacentral:lncRNA from 1 species
GAAAACAACCCUAGGGCCCUCGGGGGGCCAAAAAAUCACAGAAAAACGGAGCUGACCGGCGGCGGCGCUCUCGGGUGCGGCGGCUCUCCGGCGAAGUUCGUGUUUUGGUGAUUCGGCUCCGGUCAACCUGUAGAGAAAAGAAUGGUGAUCACGGUGAUAUAAAAAUUGCAUCGAACGGAGGCCGGGAAGGGCCUUGUCGGAUGCAAAAACCGAGAGGGGGCGCGGCGGCGCCGCUGGUCUUCGGCCUCGUAUUCCGGCCGUUUGGCCAGGAUUUUAGCUUCGAUUUGGCCAUAGGAGGAAUCAGCGUGGAAAAACGAGUCGGGGGUAUGAAAUUUACCUCGAUCGGCGGUCGGAAAUUUCCCCGGUGCGGCGGCGGGUGGCGGCAGUCGACCUCUGGUUCGUCUUCUCCGGCGAGCGGCAGGCGGCUAGGGUUUGUGGUCUGGUGUGGGGGUUCUAUUUAUAACCCCUUGCC